rnacentral:rRNA from 1 species
UACGAAGGGGGGCUAGCGUUGUUCGGAAUUACUGGGCGUAAAGCGCGCGCAGGCGGUCUUCCAAGUCAGUGGUGAAAGCCCGGAGCUCAACUCCGGAACUGCCAUUGAAACUGUAGAACUUGAGGAUGAGAGAGGUGAGUGGAAUUCCCAGUGUAGAGGUGAAAUUCGUAGAUAUUGGGAAGAACACCGGUGGCGAAGGCAGCCCCCUGGGCUAACACUGACGCUCAGGCACGAAAGCGUGGGGAGCAAACGAGG